UAGGGAAUCUUCCGCAAUGGACGCAAGUCUGACGGAGCAACGCCGCGUGAGUGAAGAAGGAUUUCGGUUCGUAAAACUCUGUUGUUAGAGAAGAACAGCGCAUAGAGUAACUGUUAUGCGUGUGACGGUAUCUUACCAGAAAGCCACGGCUAACUACGUGCCAGCAGCCGCGGUAAUACGUAGGUGGCAAGCGUUGUCCGGAUUUAUUGGGCGUAAAGCGAGCGCAGGCGGUCAAUUAAGUCUGAUGUGAAAGCCCCCGGCUCAACCGGGGAGGGUCAAUGGAAACUGGUUGACUUGAGUGCAGAAGAGGAGAGUGGAAUUCCAUGUGUAGCGGUGAAAUGCGUAGAUAUAUGGAGGAACACCAGUGGCGAAGGCGACUCUCUGGUCUGUAACUGACGCUGAGGCUCGAAAGCGUGGGUAGCAAACAGG
rnacentral:rRNA from 1 species